CAAAAAUGCCUCUGAGCUCCUGCCUGAGUCUCUUCCCUGCAGCAAUUUGGAUCUGGCCUUACAGAAGGAAAUGUCAGAUGCAGGAAUCGCCUUCCCUCAGCAAAGUGCUGCUCUCACUCUGCCUGGAGUAAAGCUUGGGACAUGCUGGGACGCUCAGAGAGAGAAUUUGUGAGUUAAUCUGCACUGAAAACAGGCUGAAAAUGCCCAUGUGACCAUGAGAGGUCCUUGUGGGUGUGUGCAGAGUUGGAGGAACAAGCCAGCUCCAGGCAGAAAGGAGCCCCCCAGUUCUGCCAGCUUCCAGCACCAGCCUGACUCCAGUGCUCACCCAAGCAGAGACACUGGAGCAGAGCCUACGGGCUGGGAGAGGAAGGAGGAAAUAGCUGCAGCU
rnacentral:lncRNA from 1 species